GAAGGGCCUCAUUGAACCAGGAAAGGUCAAGGGAGGAGUAGGAGGGGAUAAAGAAAAGGUCAUAGGAUGGUGACUAUGGAGCCAUACUAUUGGUUCUUCAUGAAGCCUACUCAGCUUAUUGAUGCCAACCAAAGAACAGCAAAUAAUCAAUAGUUAAGUGCCUACCAUGUGCUGGGCACUGUGCUAAGUGCUGGGGAAAUUAAAAAAGGGCAAAAGGCAGUCCCUGACAUGAAGGAGCUCAUUCUGAAGGAAAAAACAAGCAAAUAUGUGCAAAUGAGCUAUAUAGAAGAUAAAUAGGAACUCGUUCAUAGAGGGAAGAUGCUGGAAUUAAGAGAAAUUUAAAAAGGCUUCCUGUAGAAGGGAUAUUAGCUGGGACCUUAAGGAAACCUUUAAGGAAGUUGUCAGUAGGUGGAGUAGAAGAGAGAAUGUUUCAGGAAUGGAGGCAGCCAGAGAAAAUGCUCUCAUAAAUCACUUCCAUUUCACAGUGGAACUAACUGUUAAUGGUUGGCUUACCUUCUGGGAAGGCCCUGAGAGAUGGGUAUCCUACAGCCAUCUCACCUGAUGAUCAUGGGAAUUGGCUUGUGUUUGAGGCUAUGAUAGAUACAAAGACUAAUUAACAGCCAUGAAUGCUCUGCUUCAAUAGGAGAGGGACCUCAUAACCACAAUGCAGGUGGGUGCCAUUCCUAGCAGCAAGCCCUCCCAACACUGAACACCCAGGACCCGAGGUUUGGGGUAGAAGUUGAGGGUUCAGAGUCCAGGUGGCUAGGCAGACUUCACAGCUGCUGGAGCAGUCUGUUGACUGAGCCUUUCCUCAAAAGUAGCUUGUGUCCACUGACCAGUGAAUGGACUAGCAGAAUCCCUAGAUUGGCAAUAUGCUAUGACUAACGCCUUGCUGGUUUGCCAAGCCUUUGGCUUCCUGUUUGAUGAUGGGAAGGGAGAUACCAAGCAUUAUAACUUUCACUUUCCCAAGUAAGCAUUUCCUUUUGUGGUCAUGAAGACUGUCUGUUGGUUGGAGUGAUACAUCUGAUCUUCCUGAAGCACUUGAAGACUCUAGAUGUCCAUUUCCCCCCAGUAUUCCCUGUGUCUGGAUAAAUAUCCCCAGUUUCUAUACCUGAUACUUAUGUGGCAAGGACUCGAGGCCUUUCACCCUCCUGGUUGGAGAUUUCACAAAUUAAUAAGAUAAGGAAGGCAUGGAGAAAUGAAUCUCUCAUGGGGCCUUAACCCAAAGGGACAGAGCCAGGAGCAUGAGGAAAGGCCACAACUGGUGGCCAAAGGACAUAUCUUGGGAUAGAGAGGAAGAACGAGGGGUCCUCCCAAUGACAUUUAUCUUUAGUGGGCCCAAGAGAAGUCUGAUUGUAAUCCCCUUGGUUAGCAAAUCAUUUCCUGAGGGUCCCAAAGGUCUUGGAUUUUCUAGGGGGUAGCAACUAACCUGAAGUGCCUGGAGAGCUAAAACCAGGUGAUAAGACAAAUCAGAGAGACUAGAUUGGAAACAGCUAAUCUAAGAGGCUGUGCCUCCAGGGCAGGGUGGAGGUGGCAAAGAUGGUUGUGACUAUGUGCCAACCAGAGGACAUUCUGGUCCUUCCCUAGGCACCCAGAGGAGGUAACUACCUUCACCCUUCCUGGCCUUACCCAGUGGUACUGAAAGGAGUGGCUGGCAGGAGACGGUGUCCUUUGUACACAUGGAGAAGGGGACUGAAACCCUUCCCUGAAAGCACCUGACACAUCUAGAGAGUAUAGCCCAUGAGAUUAGAAGGUCUGCUGUCCUGGAAAUUGCCAUUUUCACCCCAAAUUGGGUGAAAAGAAGGAAGAGAUAAUAGGGUUUCUCUCUCUCCAUGUUUAUCCUUGGCCCAUUCCCACUCUGAAUUCUGGAUGAGGAAACUGAGGCAGAGGUUAUUAUUUUCCCAUGGUC